rnacentral:lncRNA from 1 species
UAUAUAAAUAUAGAUGCAUCCGAAGCUAUAGUGAGAUCAGUGACCAAGUCCGUCUGUGCCUUUGGAAGAGUUUGGAUGCGGAGGACGUUUACAUCGUUUGUAGGGUGCGCACGGAGGAGGUUGUAGAGGAGGAGGUUGUAGAGGUAAGUAUGAACGCUUACAUCGUUUGUAGGGUGGGCACGGACUCGCUAAAAACCGUCGUGGAAUUGAAAUCCGUGGAAUCCUUUGGACCAUCAUCACUUGAUCCGGAUGGUUUGUCUUUUCUCCACCUGCACCACCAAAACACAUUACACCAUUUAUACUGUAUUACAGUACUGUCGAGGUUCGGUAUUGCUAGUGACGAUUUGUCUGUUUAAUUAAUCAUUACGUAUAAACCGAAUUAAAAACCAAACUGAAUCGUGGUACAGCUUAAACUGUUUUAUUAUUUUCACAUAAGAUUAAAAAAAAAAAAAAAAUUGUUAAUAUGAAAUGAAAGUGAAAAAAAAACUAUACCGAAAACUGAAAACUUACAAAGUAAAUAGUAAUGAUUAGUGACCUAUACGCAGAUUUUAAAGAUAUCUAGA